UACGGAGGAUGCGAGCGUUAUCCGGAUUUAUUGGGUUUAAAGGGUGCGCAGGCGGAUUUUUAAGUCAGCGGUCAAAUCGUGGGGCUCAACCCCAUCCAGCCGUUGAAACCGGAGCGCUAGAAUUCCGAUGCCGUCGGAGGAAUGUGUGGUGUAGCGGUGAAAUGCAUAGAUAUCACACAGAACACCGAUUGCGAAGGCAUCUGACGAAUCGGAGAUUGACGCUGAUGCACGAAAGCGUGGGUAUCGAACAGG
rnacentral:rRNA from 1 species